GAUGAAGAACGCAGCGAAAUGCGAUAAGUAAUGCGAAUUGCAGAAUUUCCGUGAGUCAUCGAAUCUUUGAACGCACAUUGCGCCCACUGGUAUUCCGGUGGGCAUGCCUGUUCGAGCGUCAUUAUCCUCCCUCAAACCCCGGGUUUGGUGUUGGACCCAAGUUGUGUGAACAACUGGUCUUAAAGACAAUGACGGCGUCCGUGGGACCCUCGGUGCAACGAGCUUUUAGGAGCACGCAUCGAGUUGCAAGGACCUUCCGGGCCGGUCUCCUUUACUAUUUUACACGGUUGACCUCGGAUCAGGUAGGAAUACCCGCUGAACUUAAGCAUAUCAAUAAGCGGAGGA
rnacentral:misc_RNA from 1 species